AUUGAACGCUGGCGGCAUGCCUUACACAUGCAAGUCGAACGGCAGCACGGGAGCAAUCCUGGUGGCGAGUGGCGAACGGGUGAGUAAUGUAUCGGAACGUGCCCAGUCGUGGGGGAUAACGUAGCGAAAGCUACGCUAAUACCGCAUACGAUCUAUGGAUGAAAGCGGGGGAUCGCAAGACCUCGCGCGAUUGGAGCGGCCGAUAUCAGAUUAGGUAGUUGGUGGGGUAAAGGCUCACCAAGCCGACGAUCUGUAGCUGGUCUGAGAGGACGACCAGCCACACUGGGACUGAGACACGGCCCAGACUCCUACGGGAGGCAGCAGUGGGGAAUUUUGGACAAUGGGCGCAAGCCUGAUCCAGCAAUGCCGCGUGCAGGAUGAAGGCCUUCGGGUUGUAGACUGCUUUUGUACGGAGCGAAAGGGCUCUCUCUAAUACAGGGGGCUCAUGACGGUACCGUAAGAAUAAGCACCGGCUAACUACGUGCCAGCAGCCGCCGUAAAAC
rnacentral:rRNA from 1 species